CACCUGUAGUCCCAGCACUGGGAGGCUGAGGUAGGAGGAUAGCUGGAGCCAGGAGGCUGCAGUGAGCCAUGAUCACACCACUGCACUCAGCCUGGGUGACAGAGUGAGACUCUGUCUCAAA